UAGUUUUGUCCGACUCCAUUGACUUGUAUUAGAUGCGCUGUGAGGUACUCCGCCGCCGGAAACGGAAAUGGGCGCGUUUGUAGUCUUUUUGUAGUUUUUUUUACAGUCGUGGUAUCGUAGGCUCGCUAUCCAAACAUUUUUAAAAGAUCGGUUAUCUAUGUCAACUUGGAAAUGGAUUCCGAGACAUUUGAAUGGGAGGAUGAGGGUUUUGAGGUCGAUUUUGAUGGAGUCGGUUACAGGUUUGAACCUGAAUAUUCAGAGGAAGAAUUCCUGCAAAGAAAGGCAGAGUUUGAGCUGCAUUUGUCCAAGGAGUCCAGUGUUACGCCUGUUGCCGAAGCUGCUGUUGUCUCAAGGCUUACAGGCACUUGGUGGUGUUCCUGUCGAAAGUGUAAACAAAUGCCUACAGAAGAGGAGAGUUUGUGCUGCACCGAAUGGGACUUACUGUUUACAGAGGGGAUGGAGAAUCUAAACGUAUCCGUCGACGAAACCGAGGUCUCGCUGACUUGUGUCACAGAUCGUGAUGUUCGGGAUUUGCUCCAGAGACCGGUUAUAGAGACAUUCUUUUAUGUCCCGAAACUUAAUUGGAAAAAGCGUCCUAGACCAGAGGGGUUGAAUGGCCAGUUAUCAGAUCGCAAUUGUACUAUUCAGGUCCUUGCUACCCCCUGUUCUUCAUCUGCUUCAUGAACAUCGCAAGAUAGUGUGUCCUGAACACAUCAAUAAGAUUUACCAUCCAGUUUCCACAUACCCCCUGUUCAGAAUGUAGUGUAUAAACCACAAAACACUGUAUGUUGAAAUAAAAGUUCUUGUUUUUUAUUAAAAAAAAGUUUUGCAUUUUUUAAAAAUAUGCAACACAGUUUGUUAAAAUAAAAGUUUUUUUAUACAACA